UUCUUUCUUUUCUUCUGUAUAUAUGUUGAUUUUAUUUUGAAGAAGUUUUUGUGAUUGUGAGAUUAUGAAGAUGGAGCAAGGAGAAGAAGAAUCAACAUAAGGGAUUUUAAAGUGGUUCGGUUUUAACAAACUUACAUCCACUAUGCAUGGGGGCAAGAUCUUUAUUUUCUGCACUUUGAUCUUCAUAGAUAUGUCACUCCUUUUCGGGUUCCAAAAACCCGAUUGUUUGAAGGCAUUUGAGAAACUUCGUUCGAGUGACUACCUUUGUCAACAUAUCAGUUGCAUUCUCACUGCAGGCUCUGAUACCAAUUUGUAGCAGCUGACACGUGUAUGAUCAAAUAUUGGCCACGUUUUGAAUGUAAAUUGAAGUUUUUAUGAUUGUGAGAUUAUGAAGAUGAAGAUGAAGCAAGGAGAAGAAGAAUCAACACAAGAGAUUUUAAAGUGGUUUGGUUUUAACAAACCUACAUCCACUAUGCAUGGGAGCAAGAUCUUUAUUUUUUGCACUUUGAUCUUCAUAGAUACAAGG